AAGUAUUUCAAAACCUGUCUUAACAAAAACAGCAAAAAAUAUUUAACAAGCAUGUAUUUAUAUUAAUUACAGAAGUCAUUCUAAAUUUAACAAAAAUACUGUCAAGAUACUGUUUUCUUUGCACAUGUAAAUAUUUAAUACAAAGUAGUUUUGCAUAUGCAACCCAUAUUUUAUGUAUUUAUUUGACACUUUAAUGACAAGGAAGAACUGCUUGUAAAAUUGUACAUUUAAAUUUUUUUCUUUGUAAAUUAUAUCAUUUCAUGUACAGAUAAAUAAAUAAACACAAGUAUGAUCAAU